GACAGAGGUUGCAAGCGUUAUCCGGAAUUAUUGGGCGUAAAGCGUCUGUAGGCGGCUUUUUAAGUCUGCCGUCAAAUCCCAGGGCUUAACCCUGGACAGGCGGUGGAAACUACCAAGCUGGAGUGCGGUAGGGGCAGAGGGAAUUUCCGGUGGAGCGGUGAAAUGCGUAGAGAUCGGAAAGAACACCAACGGCGAAAGCACUCUGCUGGGCCGACACUGACACUGAGAGACGAAAGCUAGGGGAGCGAAUGGG
rnacentral:rRNA from 1 species